UGGUGACGAGCGGCGGACGGGUGAGUAAUGUCUGGGAAACUGCCUGAUGGAGGGGGAUAACUACUGGAAACGGUAGCUAAUACCGCAUAACGUCGCAAGACCAAAGUGGGGGACCUUCGGGCCUCAUGCCAUCAGAUGUGCCCAGAUGGGAUUAGCUAGUAGGUGGGGUAACGGCUCACCUAGGCGACGAUCCCUAGCUGGUCUGAGAGGAUGACCAGCCACACUGGAACUGAGACACGGUCCAGACUCCUACGGGAGGCAGCAGUGGGGAAUAUUGCACAAUGGGCGCAAGCCUGAUGCAGCCAUGCCGCGUGUGUGAAGAAGGCCUUCGGGUUGUAAAGCACUUUCAGCGGGGAGGAAGGCGUUAAGGUUAAUAACCUUGGCGAUUGACGUUACCCGCAGAAGAAGCACCGGCUAACUCCGUGCCAGCAGCCGCGGUAAUACAGAGGGUGCAAGCGUUAAUCGGAAUUACUGGGCGUAAAGCGCACGCAGGCGGUCUGUCUAGUCGGAUGUGAAAUCCCCGGGCUCAACCUGGGAACUGCAUUCGAAACUGGCAGGCUAGAGUCUUGUAGAGGGGGGUAGAAUUCCAGGUGUAGCGGUGAAAUGCGUAGAGAUCUGGAGGAAUACCGGUGGCGAAGGCGGCCCCCUGGACAAAGACUGACGCUCAGGUGCGAAAGCGUGGGGAGCAGACAGGAUUAGAUACCCUGGUAGUCCACGCCGUAAACGAUGUCGAUUUGGAGGUUGUGCCCUUGAGGCGUGGCUUCCGGAGCUAACGCGUUAAAUCGACCGCCUGGGGAGUACGGCCGCAAGGUUAGAACUCAAAUGAAUUGACGGGGGCCCGCACAAGCGGUGGAGCAUGUGGUUUU
rnacentral:rRNA from 1 species